rnacentral:rRNA from 1 species
UACGGGGGGGGCAAGCGUUGUUCGGAAUUACUGGGCGUAAAGGGUUUGUAGGUGGCCCGCUAAGUCACACGUGAAAUCCCUCAGCUUAACUGGGGAACUGCGUGUGAGACUGGCAGGCUCGAGGGCAGGAGAGGAACGCGGAAUUCCAGGUGUAGCGGUGAAAUGCGUAGAUAUCUGGAGGAACACCGGUGGCGAAGGCGGCGUUCUGGUCUGUCUCUGACACUGAAGAACGAAAGCCAGGGGAGCAAACGGG